ensembl:lncRNA
ACGCCGCGGCCCCCGAGGGUUAGUCCUAAGUGGCGCUCUCUUAGGACGUUAGGCUGUCGGGGACCCGUCCUUCUUCCGCGGCAGGAACCGUGUCUCAGGAGUCGGGUCCUAAGGAAGAGGGCAGCUCUAGCCCCUCACUCACCGCCAGCUCGCCCGACGGCCAGAGGGCAGCGGGGUCGCGCUGGUGCGGCCGGCAGGGGUCCCUGUGGGCCGGCGCCCCCUCCCAGAGGGGGCCAGAGCCGUGCCUGUCGCCGCGGCUGGAGUCAGCCUCCCGGUGCCCUCGGACGCGGCACGACCUCGCACACACACACCGCGCGCACACGCUCGCGCCGUGCGGUAUUUCCCGGCCCCGGACCCCGCCUCUGGGAGGGGCCGGGGAGCCUAGCCCCGCUAGCAGGGUGGAGGAACCGGGAACGCCUGGGUCCCGGCCCCCGCGUCAGGGCUGUGCGCCACCUUCCCAGCCCCUUUCGGCGCGCCGGCUCGGCCCCUGGUGCUGCCACCCUUCGGCCUGCGGGGGUCCCGGAGGCUCCCGGGCGCGCGGCGGACGAGGUUGGGGAGACGAGUGGGGGCCGCGGGCUUCGGGCCGAGAGGCGGCUCGGCUCCGCGCCGGGGAAAGUUUGGACGUGGGAAACUCCCUCCCCUCCCGCCCCGCGGAGAGGAGGGGGCGCGCAGGGCCGGGCGCAGGCACCCCUUCUCCUCCUGCGGCGGGAGGCUCGCCCCCCGGGCCUCCUGCCCGGCCGCUCCCGCCGGCCAGGGGGCUCCCUCCUGGCCGGGCAGCCUCCCCUCGGCGGCGAUCCGGCCGCCCCUCCCGCGGCACCCCGCGCUCUUACCUCGGGGAGAGGCCCGGGGCUCCCCCCAGUCCUGCCGCCUCGGGACGCUGCGUGGGGCGGGAGCCCCGGCGCGGGCGGCGGGCGAGUCCGGAGCCCCGCGGCCGCCCGGAGGAGCCGGAGGGAGAGCGGGAGCGAGAGGGGGAGCCGCGGCGACGUGUGCGCGCGUGUGUGUGAGCGAGAGAGCGAGGGAGUGAGCGAGCGGGAGCGAGGGAGUGUGCGUGUCUGA